rnacentral:rRNA from 1 species
UACGUAGGGUGCGAGCGUUAAUCGGAAUUACUGGGCGUAAAGCGUGCGCAGGCGGCCUCUUAAGUCAGAUGUGAAAUCCCCGGGCUUAACCUGGGAACUGCGUUUGAAACUGGGAGGCUAGAGUGUGGAAGAGGGGGGUGGAAUUCCAGGUGUAGCAGUGAAAUGCGUAGAGAUCUGGAGGAACACCGAUGGCGAAGGCAGCCGCCUGGGCCACAACUGACGCUGAGGUACGAAAGCGUGGGGAGCAAACAGG